rnacentral:rRNA from 2 species
CUGGUGUCAGCCGCCGCGGUAAUACCAGCACCCCGAGUGGUCGGGACGAUUAUUGGGCCUAAAGCAUCCGUAGCCGGCCUUACAAGUCCUCCGUUAAAUCCAGCUGCUUAACAGAUGGGCUGCGGAGGAUACUAUAAGACUAGGAGGCAGGAGAGGCAAGCGGUACUCAGUGGGUAGGGGUAAAAUCCGUUGAUCCAUUGAAGACCACCAGUGGCGAAGGCGGCUUGCCAGAAUGCGCUCGACGGUGAGGGAUGAAAGCUGGGGGAGCAAACCGGAUUAGAUACCCGGGUAGUCCCAGCUGUAAACGAUGCAGACUCGGUGAUGGACUAGCUUUAUGCUGGUCCAGUGCCGCAGGGAAGCCGUCAAGUCUGCCGCCUGGGUAGUACGGUCGCAAGACUGAAACUUAAAG